GGGUGCGAUCAUACCAGCGUUAAUGCACCAGAUCCCAUCGGAACUCCACGGUUAAGCGUGCUAGUGCUAGAGUAGUAUUGGGAUGGGGAACCGCCUGGGAGGUCUUAGUGCUACACCCU
rfam:Picea glauca, whole genome shotgun sequence.